rnacentral:tRNA from 1 species
UGGGUUGUAGUUCAGUGGUAGAGCACUUGCCUAGCAUGUGUGAGGCACUGGGUUCGAUCCUCAGCACCACAU